AGAGUUUGAUCAUGGCUCAGGAUGAACGUUGGCGGUGUGCCUAAUACAUGCAAGUCGAACGGAGUUAAUAGCAAUAUUGACUUAGUGGCGAACGGGUGAGUAACGCGUUGGUGAUCUGCCUCGAAGUGUGGAAUAACGUUCCGAAAGGAACGCUAAUACCGCAUGUGCUCUCGAUUUUUAGAAACUUGAGAGUAAAGGAUUUAUUCGCUUCGAGAGGAGCCUGCGUCCCAUCAGCUGGUUGGUAGGGUAACGGCCUACCAAGGCUAUGACGGGUAGGGGACCUGAGAGGGUGGCCCCCCACAAUGGAACUGAAACACGGUCCAUACACCUACGGGUGGCAGCAGUAGGGAAUAUUAGAAAUGGACGAAAGUCUGAUCUAGCAACACCGCGUGUGCGAAGAAGGCCUUCGGGUCGUAAAGCACUUUUUGGAAGGAAUAGGAAGGAAUGUACUUCCAGAAUAAGUCUCGGCUAACUACGUGCCAGCAGCCGCGGUAACACGUAGGAGGCAAACGUUAUCCGGAUUUACUGGGCGUAAAGCGCGUGUAGGUGGUACUGUAAGUAGGGCGUGAAAGCUCCCGGCUCAACUGGGAGAGGCCGUUCUAAACUGCAGAACUAGAGGAUGGUAGAGGGAGGUGGAAUUCCAGGUGUAGCGGUGGAAUGCGCAGAUAUCUGGAGGAACACCAGUGGCGAAGGCGGCCUCCUGGACCAUUCCUGACACUCAGACGCGAAAGCUAGGGUAGCAAACGGGAUUAGAGACCCCGGUAGUCCUAGCCCUAAACGAUGUAGACUAGGCGUCGGUGGUUUAAUCACCAUCGGUGUCCAAGCUAACGCGAUAAGUCUACCGCCUGGGGACUACGGCCGCAAGGUUAAAACUCAAAGGAAUUGACGGGUCCCC
rnacentral:rRNA from 1 species